rnacentral:rRNA from 1 species
AUGAGUGUCUCUCGCCUUCCUGUAGCGGUGAACUCACCCGGCAAUCUGCUCCCUGGUGGUGGCUCCGGUGGUUUGGACUUUGUUCAUGGACGGGGCGAAAUCUCCGCAGGGCUUGCCGAUGCUGGCAGCGACGACGCCUGUGGGUGCCGUUUCCUUCUUGGGGGCGCUGCCAUGGUCCUGAUCAUGUCCCUUCUCGAGCGCCGGGGGAAACCCUUGUUCCGGCCCUCCGGAACAGGCGGCGGCGUCGUCACGGCGUCGUACCUUCAUGAAGGCACCGCCUUGGCUGCUCGCGGAGUCCUCGGAGCUAGAGUUUGGAGGGUCUUGCUUUUGGUGUGGGUUGCCCCUUGGGACGUGGGCCUCUAG